UAUGGUCGCACUUGCAAUAAGGACUUGUUAUUUAUUAAUUCUAUCGUGCAUUAUUUAUUCUUAUUCUAUUAUUUUUUCUAAGCAUUUUAAUUAAGCAAAUUAUGCUUUUUUUCACAGAAAAAGACAUAAUUGUGAAGGUCCAUGCAGAUGAAGAAGAAAAAUGUGGUGGCUGCUGCACCGCAGAUUUUCUCAAAAUGCUAUGCUAAAAAGGAACUGGUUUCAGGAUACCUCAAGUAUGCUUCGUUAUAACCUUUGUUCAUGUUUUCCUGUAUAUAUGUAAAUCUGAAAUCUUAAAUGUUGCACCAACUAUUUUCCUUCACUAUCUCAUCAAGUUAAUGCUUAUUAUUUAUAUUAUGUUAUUUGUUUGUUCAUUUAGACUUUGAUUUACUAAUAUCAUAAUAAAUAUUAUAUAAGAUGCUGAACACUGAUACUAUUUGUGUAGUAGUAGUUAUUGCCACUAAGCAAAUUUAUAAACUGAAUUGUGAUAUCGUAACUUGUCAUAGUUUUUAAAAAAUGUUUCCUUUAUAUAAUUAUGCUAUAAAUUAUGCCAAGGGGUUUUAUACCAAAAAUUUUAUUUAAUAAAUGUGCAUUAUUUGUUUCAAUGCAUGCCAUUUUAAAGAAUAUCAUUCUAAGUACACACAGCUAAAUGAUAUUAAAUACUAUUAUUGAUAAUGAUAACAAUAACAAUAAUUAUUAAAAAAAUGACAUUUGAACAACUUUAGACGUAAUUAUCAGAUUUUUCAGUACACUUUAAAUUGCUUAUUGUAAUGACUGAAAUUGCAGAAAAAGUAUUGGAAAAUUGCUUACUGUAUACUGCAUCAAAUGUAUUUAUUCAUAAAAUGAUCUUUCAAUAACAAUAGACAUUUUUGAAUAAAUACUGGAAAAUUGCUUACUGUAAAGUGUAACAAAUGCAUUUAUUCAUAAAAUGAUCGUUCUAUAAUAAUCGACAUUUUUCAAUAAAUAUUGGAAAAUUGCUUACUGUAAAGUGCAUCAAAUGUAUUUAUUCAUAAAACAAUGAAUGGCAUUUCUGAAAAAAUAUUGGAAAAC